rnacentral:rRNA from 1 species
AGAGUUUGAUCAUGGCUCAGGAUGAACGCUGGCGGCGUGCCUAAUACAUGCAAGUCGAGCGAACUGAUUAGAAGCUUGCUUCUAUGACGUUAGCGGCGGACGGGUGAGUAACACGUGGGCAACCUGCCUGUAAGACUGGGAUAACUUCGGGAAACCGAAGCUAAUACCGGAUAGGAUCUUCUCCUUCAUGGGAGAUGAUUGAAAGAUGGUUUCGGCUAUCACUUACAGAUGGGCCCGCGGUGCAUUAGCUAGUUGGUGAGGUAACGGCUCACCAAGGCAGCGAUGCAUAGCCGGACUGAGAGGUUGAUCGGCCACAUUGGAACUGAGACACGGUCCAAACACCUACGGGUGGCAGCAGUAGGGAAUUUUUCGCAAUGGGGGCAACCCUGACGGAGCAAUGCCGCGUGGAGGAUGAAGGUCUUCGGAUCGUAAACUCCUGUUGUAAGGGAAGAAUUACAAGAUUAGGAAAUGAAUCUUGCUUGACGGUACCUUACCAGAAAGCCUCGGCUAACUACGUGCCAGCAGCCGCGGUAAUACGUAGGAGGCAAGCGUUAUCCGGAAUUAUUGGGCGUAAAGAGCAUGUAGGCGGUUUGUUAAGUCUGAUGUGAAAGCUAAUGGCCUAACCAUUAAAUUGCAUUGGAAACUGGCAAACUAGAAUACUGGAGAGGUAAGUGGAACUCCAUGUGUAGCGGUGGAAUGCGCAGAUAUAUGGAAGAACACCAAUGGCGAAGGCAGCUUACUGGACAGAGAUUGACGCUGAGAUGCGAAAGCGUGGGGAGCAAACAGGAUUAGAUACCCUGGUAGU